CACAGAAUUUAAGUGUUUUGGGGUCACCAUUAUGGACUUCCAUAAAAUGUUUGGACAGGGUAUGGUUCUCGAACUUUCUUUUUAUGUUGCAAAUGUGUUCUCUGAAACUGAUUUUCAGCAUACAUUUAGUUUGGCCAACGUAUUGAAGACCGCAAUCGCAUUCUAAUAAAUAUAUGACCUGCUUGGAGUGACAGGUGAUGCAGUCUUCAAUAUUGU